rnacentral:rRNA from 1 species
AACGGGUGGAAACACGCGCUAAUACCGGAUAGACUGCUGGGGUCGCAACCAGCAGUAAAGCGGUAGUGCUUGAGGAGGGGUCCGCGGCCCAUCAGCUAGUUGGUAGGGUAAAGGCCUACCAAGGCGAAGACGGGUAGGGGGUGUGAGAGCACGACCCCCCACAAUGGGACUGAGAGACGGCCCAUACUCCUACGGGAGGCAGCAGCAGGGAAUAUUGCACAAUGGACGGAAGUCUGAUGCAGCGACGCCGCGUGGAUGAAGGAGGCCUUCGGGUUGUAAAAUCCUUUUCGGGGGGAAGAGCGAGGACGGUACCCCCGGAAUAAGCGUCGGCUAACUACGUGCCAGCAGCCGCGGUAAUACGUAGGACGCGAGCGUUAUCCGGAUUUACUGGGCGCAAAGCGUCUGUAGGCGGACUUGUAAGUUGGACGUGAAAGCUCCGGGCUUAACCCGGAGAGGCCGUUCAAUACUGCGAGACUAGAGGGCGUGAGAGGGGAGCGGAAUUCCCGGUGUAGCGGUAAAAUGCGCAGAUAUCGGGAGGAACACCAGUGGCGCAGGCGGCUCCCUGGUACGCACCUGACGCUGAGAGACGAAAGCUAGGGGAGCGAACAGGAUUAGAGACCCUGGUAGUCCUAGCCCUAAACGCUG